rnacentral:sRNA from 1 species
GUCAAUAACCCCUGUCUAAAGACAGAGGCUUGAUAGCCAUUGUGGCCUUCGAGCCUUGAUUGACUAGCCUCAGUCCGCCGUAACGGACUACGUUGGUUGGGAAUGUAUAGGCACCGCGGGAUGUAGAUCCUAGUCCCGCGCA